rnacentral:rRNA from 1 species
UACAGAGGUCCCAAGCGUUGCUCGGAAUCACUGGGCGUAAAGCGCACGUAGGCGGAUCUUUAAGUCAGGGGUGAAAUCCUGGAGCUCAACUCCAGAACUGCCUUUGAUACUGAAGAUCUUGAGUUCGGGAGAGGUGAGUGGAACUGCGAGUGUAGAGGUGAAAUUCGUAGAUAUUCGCAAGAACACCAGUGGCGAAGGCGGCUCACUGGCCCGGUACUGACGCUGAGGUGCGAAAGCGUGGGGAGCAAACAGG